UACGAAGGGGGCUAGCGUUGCUCGGAAUGACUGGGCGUAAAGGGCGCGUAGGCGGAUGGCUUUGUCGGGCGUGAAAUUCCAGGGCUUAACCUUGGGGCUGCGUUCGAGACGGGUUGUCUUGAGUGGGGAAGAGGGUCGUGGAAUUCCCAGUGUAGAGGUGAAAUUCGUAGAUAUUGGGAAGAACACCGGUGGCGAAGGCGGCGACCUGGUCCUUUACUGACGCUGAGGCGCGAAAGCUAGGGGAGCGAACAGG
rnacentral:rRNA from 1 species